CAAGCAGCCCUAUAUAUAUAUAUAUAUAUAUAUAUAUAUAGUAGGGCUAGAAUACUUGUAAAAGUAUCAUGGGGGUGAUACUUGUGUGUUUUUAGCCCUUGGAUGGAGAGAUGUGAGGUUAAGAUGAUGGUGGUAGGUGGUGGUAGGUGGUGGUAGGUGGAAUAGUGUUUAAUCCAAGGGCUAUUAAUAAUAAAAAAGUAGAUCCAAUGGCUUAAAACCUAAUAGCACUAUGAUGAUGAUACUUAUAAAAGUAUCAUAGCUCAACUCAUAUAGAUAUAUAUAUAGUUUAAAUCACCUCAAGCAAAAGAGGACAAAGAAAAACUAUCCUAUCUUAAAUUGCCCCUUUACUUACUUUUAUUCCCACGUGGGUCCCAUGAAAUGACCUUUCCAUGUGAUACACGCGGAGGGUAAUAUAUUAGAAUAAAUAAACAGCGUGACUUGCAUUAGAAAUGGUUCAUAGGAGGUUUUAUUUUUAUUUUAUUUUAUUUUAGUUUUGGAUUAAAUUAUAUUAUUAGUUAUUAACAUUUUAAUAAAAUUUUAUUUCCUACAACAGAAUUAGAUUAUAGCAACAUAUGUUUGGAACACAUUUGUAUAAGUGUCGCAUUUAUGCCAAAACUUAAAAAAAAAACCUACUAAUGCCUAAAUAUAAAGUCAAAUCCAACUAAAAAUAAAAGGGUACUCUACUCAACCCAUUUCAUCCAGCCCAUUCGGCCUGAUUACAAACAGAAAAGAAAAAAAAAAAGAAAAAGAAAAAAAUAAUCGAUUACCAUUUCCCCUUCUCCCCUCACUCAAUCGAUUGAAAUUCUAGACGAAAAUCUUUUCCUCUCAUCCUCCUCCGCCACUGCAGCCAACAAGGUAGAGUUCCGACGGUUGCUGGAUGCUUAAAUAAAUGUUGGUAAAUUAGCAGCACUUUUUUAUAUUAUAGCGACACUCUUUAACUGUCACUAUAUAUCUAGCGACCCCACAUAUAGCAACACUUUUUAAAGUGUCGGUAAUUUAGCCAACAGCAUUUUUUUUUAUCUAUACCGACAUUUAAAAGUGUCACUAUAGACCGUUUUUAUUGUAGUGUUU
rnacentral:lncRNA from 1 species